GCGAAAGUGGCGGAACUGGUAGACGCGCGAGACUUAGGAUCUCGUGGCCCCGGCCGUGGGGGUUCGAGUCCCCCCUUUCGCA
rnacentral:tRNA from 1 species